GCUCUGCAUGUCUCCUAGUUCUGAGUCACACCUGGUUUGUGAAUCGCUCUUGACUCAGAUAAACUCUGCUAAAUUUCAUCUGUCUAAUGUUUUUCUGUUAACAGUUCAGCAUCAGAAGUGGGAUUUGAAGUCCCCAGUGACCCCCAGGAGCACAAAGUGACCAAGUGAAGGUGCCUACCAGGCCCAGUGUCCCCACUGCUCUCUCACGGCAACUCGGGUGGUAGGGACCUUGUCUCAUGAUUCUUAACAUCAUUCCCCUGGAUAACUCAUUGGAGAUCCCAGCUGACUUUCUAAGGGAAUGGCAGAGCCACAAGAUGGAAGGAGCCUGGGUUCCUGAAUAAACUGGCCGAGAAGAGCCACACUGCCAACAUGAACACUCACCCUGGACAGUUAUUGAGCAAGAAAUGAACUUCUGUGAUGAGUCAUUACAUUCCUGGGUCUCUUUCUUAGAGCAGCUAUCCUCCCAUAACUUAUUCAC